CAGUCGCCACGGGAAUACGAAGGGGGCUAGCGUUGUUCGGAUUUACUGGGCGUAAAGCGCACGUAGGCGGAUCGAUCAGUCAGGGGUGAAAUCCCAGAGCUCAACUCUGGAACUGCCUUUGAUACUGUCGAUCUGGAGUAUGGAAGAGGUGAGUGGAAUUCCGAGUGUAGAGGUGAAAUUCGUAGAUAUUCGGAGGAACACCAGUGGCGAAGGCGGCUCACUGGUCCAUUACUGACGCUGAGGUGCGAAAGCGUGGGGAGCAAACAGGAUUAGAUACCCCGGUAGUCCCUGUCUCUUAUAC
rnacentral:rRNA from 1 species